CAAUGCGUGGUUAAAGGUAACUCCUGGUAUGGUGUUGGGGAGGAGAAGGAACCAUGGGGCUGGUGUCAUUGGGGAGGGACUUGGACUGAGGCAUGGAAGACAGAGACAGUUAAACCAGAUAGAAGAAAUGGGGGACCAGGCCUCAGACCUACAGAACAGCUGCCAAGGUGGGACUGAGCACCAGGGGGAGCAGGCAGUGAGGAAACCAGCCCGGAACUUCCCACAGAUUUUGGAAUCCUCGCGGUGAAGGCCUGGGGUGAUGUCAUAGGCCACUCCUGACUGACUGAGAGGCCAAGUGCUGAAACCGCAAGCUGGGAAUGAACCAAGUCAAACUGGGGAGCUGGAAUUCUGGACGAGAUCACCUGAUGCCUGAGUUUCUGGGGCUGCUUCCCCCUCUCCAGACGCGGAUACUGAGACUCAAGAGGCCACCCCAGUGUGGACCGCUGGUGCACGACAGAAUCGGGAUUCUGACCAGAGCUGUCUGGUCCCAGAGCCUGUGCUUGUGACUGUGAUGUGAUGCAGGAGAGUGGACUAUACCAGCGUGUAGACUGCCUGGAACAAAUAGAAACCCAGCUGAGUUCCUGCAAUUUACAUAGGUGAAUCUAGAAAUGGAAUUGCCUAAGGAUUUGGCAGAAGGUGAAAAAGAAGAGCUAAAGAGGAGCAUAGAAGGAGACACUUGGCCUUUGUGUCCAGAGAAGAAAGAGAAUGCCUUUGGGGAGGUUGCGAUCACCAGACGGCUGGCCCUCAGCAACACUGAAGCCCAGAAGUCGGAUUGCCCAGCGGCUUAUGGGGAGUGACCCCUUUGUUUCUCUGAAGCCGUCUCCUCCUAAUCCCCUUAGCUCUAUAAAAGCCCGCUGCUUUCUGUUCUUGGGGAGACAGACUCCAGCAAACCCAGGCUCCCAUCCACUCAUUUUGGCCAAUUUAAUUAAAUCUUUCUCCAUCUCCAAGCACCGGUGUCUCAGUGUUUGGCUUGCUGUGCAUCGGGCACACAAGCUUGAGAUUAAGAGGUUCAGUAUCGAUCAUUCUGUUUAAUUGCCUGAAACACAAGGCUCAAAUGAUCCUGAGAAGAAGACUGGCUCGCACACAGCCUAGUAGAGCUCAGUGCUGGACCGCUGUGAAAAAUUCCAAUCCAAUGGUGGCUUGUUUAUUUUAAAUUAUUCAAAAUCAUUUUAAAGCCUUAAAAAUGGAAGUAGUUGCAACUUCAUGUGGUGAAAUAACAUGGGUAUUUGAGAAGAGAAAUGUGAUAUUGUUUAUAAUGAUAAUAAUAUCGGCCACCACGUACUAGCCCUUACUGUGUUCCAGGUUUUCUACUAACUGCUCUGUAUACCUGCUCUUCAACCCAAAUAGUUCUCAGGGUUAGCACAGUGCUUCUCAUUUUCUGCUUGCUGUCUUCAUUUCUACUUUGUUAAUCUUAAUGCAUACACACUCUUUAUCUUAACACACUUCAAAUUUCUUUUGAAACGAGGCAGCAUUCUGAUCAAUGAAAAUAUUUUGGAGUGAUUUUCUAAAGAGUGAUCGUAAAGGCUUUAGUUUAUCUUAAAUUCUAGAGAAUGGAUGGUUUACCCAGAAGGAAGACAACAGCCGUUCCUGUUAAAUUAUUCUGCUAAUGUUUACUUUGGAAAACGGUGGUAUUUUAUGCAAACAAAAUUGGAAAGCCUCCAUUUGGGCUCUGCAGGGACAAAGGCCUUUCCUGUGACUAAGGAUUGUCUGGUGGGGCUUCUGGAGGAAGGCUUCGUCAAUUCCACACCUGCCCGUGGAUCACACGGGGCAUGUGGGGUGGGUUCUAGAAUGAAGUCUGACUCACUCUUUUUCAAUAUAAAUAAUGUGUAUUCAUAUACAUGUAAUUGUUGUACUUUAUGAACAAUUUAUAUAUGUGUGUGCAUAUAAAUAUACUAUGUAUGCGAUCAUUUCUUUAAGCUAUUUCUCCCUAAUUAGCCCUCCAUUAAUUGUGCAAACUACUUAUGCACAAUAACCUAUUGAAAUACAAACUGUUCAGACAAUUCAGACUUCCAGAGAGGAGGACAGCUGCUCACAGAUGAGGACUCUUGCCCUUGGCAAGCUGUUUUUGAGGGAGCUGUCAGAAAUCUGAGAGGGACAACUAACACCUCCACUCAAGGGCAGGAGAAGCGCCCUCCAGCUGGCAGCUCACUCUAUCACUUGGGUGGACGUUCCUUCUGGGGCUGGGAUCCCUUUAUCUAUCCCAGUCACACUGCCAUUGGGAGAGGCUUUGGGAGGGCGGGGAGGGGACAUCAGGUGAGGUCAUUGCUCAAGAAUCAGGGUUGUUGACUCAAAGAUCCUCUCACGAAUUUCCAGGUGCCUUCUAAGCAAGGUUUAAAGGAAACUACACAACAAAGCAAGUGGUCCUUAGAAUCUGAAGGACAAGGCAGUUCACUGUCGCUAAAUGGAAGCUUUGUUAUUAAAAGAGCUCUUAUCUGGUGAGGCUCUGAGAAAAUUUGCGAAGUCACGUAGCCAGAGCAUGCACAGAAGAAAUUUUGACCUGAAAUGACCAUGGAACCAAAGAUUCUCCUCCCCACAGAUCCAAGGAGCAGGACACAACCCCGAACUUGAAAGUCAGACUCUUACCAGAAGUGAGAGGUCCAUCAUUCUGGAAGAUCUGGUGUUAGAAUUCCUUACCCACCUUACCAUAAAUGUUUAGAACCUCAUCAUAAAUGUUUAGAACCUCAUCAUAAAUGUUUAGAACCUUACCACAAAUGCCUGAAGCCUACCACUCAAAACCUGUCCUGCCAGUGUUUCUGUGUGCCAGCCUCUUCUCCCUAACCUCUUAGAUUUUGCCCCAAAUCGUGAAUUGGGGAGACAGAUCUGAUGGCACACGCCCCCUGUCUCCCUGCAGAUUCAUCUCUCAUAAUAAACCUGACUUCUCCCCCAAAAGCUGAUGCCAUAGUUAAUUGGUUUAUGCAUAUUGGGCAAGAGAACCCAAUUUUGUGCAGUAACAAUAGUCUUCAG
rnacentral:lncRNA from 1 species